GACAGAAAGACCCUAUGAAGCUUUACUGUAACYUGAAAWUGAAUUUGGGUUUAUUUUGUGCAGUAUAGGUGGGAGGCUAUGAUAUUAUGUUUGAGGAUGUAAAGGAGCCAUUAGUGAGAUACCACUCUAAUUAAACUAAAAUUCUAAUCUUGAUGCCGUUAUCCGGCCAAGAGACAUUUUCAGGCGGGCAGUUUGACUGGGGCGGUCGCCUCCUAAAAGGUAACGGAGGCGUGCAAAGGUUUUCUCAGACUGGUCGGAAAUCAGUCGUAGAGUGCAAAGGCAUAAGAAAGCUUGACUGCGAGACUUACAAGUCGAGCAGAGACGAAAGUCGGCCUUAGUGAUCCGACAGUUCUGAGUGGAAAGGCUGUCSCUCAACGGAUAAAAKUUACUCUAGGGAUAACAGGCUGA
rnacentral:rRNA from 1 species